rnacentral:rRNA from 1 species
CGGUAAUUCCAGCUCCAAUAGCGUAUACUAAAGUUGUUGCAGUUAAAAAGCUCGUAGUUGGAUUUCUGCGGGGACGGAGCGGCCGGACGCAACUUGCGUCUCGAGCUAGCGCUUUCCCCGCAUCCUGCCGCGAACCGUGCUACCAUUAGCUUGGUGGCGCUGGGGAUCGGCUCGAUUACUUUGAGAAAAAUAGAGUGUUCAAAGCAGGCCACACGCCUUGAAUAAGUUAGCAUGGAAUAAUGACUAAGGACUUCGGUUCUAUUUUGUUGGUGUUCGGGACUGAAGUAAUGAUUGAUAGGGACAGUUGGGGCGGUCUGUAUUCCAAAGCGAGAGGUGAAAUUCUUAGACCUUCGGAAGACAAACAGCUGCGAAAGCGUUCCGCAAGGAUGUUCCCUUUGAUCAAGAACGAAAGUUGGGGGAUCGAAGACGAUCAGAUACCGUCGUAGUCUCAACUAUAAACUAUACCAGCUAGGGAUCGGUCAACGUUUAAUCAUUCGACUUGAUCGGCACCUUAUGAGAAAUCAAAGCAUCUGGGUUCCGGGGGGAGUAUGGUCGCAAGGCUGAAACUUAAAGGAAUUGACGGAAGGGCACCACCAGCCGUGGAGCCUGUGGCUUAAUUUGACUCAACACGGGAAAACUUACCAGGUCCAGACAUAGUAAGGAUUGACAGAUUGAUAGCUCUUUCUUGAUCCUGUGGGUGGUGGUGCAUGGCCGUUCUUAGUUGGUGGAGUGAUUUGUCUGGUUAAUUCCGUUAACGAACGAGACCCCAGCCUGCUAAAUAGCGCGGCUGAGCUUUGCUCGGUGCGAGCUUCUUAGAGGGACUAUGAUGCGCGAUAGCACAUGGAAGUUUGGGGCAAUAACAGGUCUGUGAUGCCCUUAGAUGUUCUGGGCCGCACACGGGCUACACUGGCGCCUGCAACGAGCAUAUCAGCUGGCCCGAGAGGGUCUUGGCUAAUCUUUUGAACCGGCGCCGUGCUUGGGAUUGACCAUUGCAAUUGUUGGUCAUGCAACGAGGAAUGCCUUGUAAACGCGAGUCAUCAGCUCGCAUUGAAUACGUCCCUGCCCUUUGUACACACCGCCC